rnacentral:rRNA from 1 species
UACGGGGGGGAGCAAGCGUUGUUCGGAUUUACUGGGCGUAAAGGGCGUGUAGGUGGUAGAGUAAGUCUGGCGUGAAAUUUUUCGGCUUAACCGGGAAAGGUCGUCGGAUACUGCUUAACUAGAGGACGGUAGAGGCGUGUGGAAUUCCGGGUGUAGUGGUGAAAUGCGUAGAGAUCCGGAGGAACACCAGUGGCGAAGGCGACACGCUGGGCCGUACCUGACACUGAUGCGCGACAGCAUGGGGGAGCAAACAGG